rnacentral:tRNA from 1 species
GCGGCGGUGGCAGAUAUUAUGACUACCGCUAACGUCGGUGGGGUGGAGGUUGAAAUCCGCCGCGCCGGC